rnacentral:tRNA from 1 species
GGCGGUAUACUUUAAGUUAAAAGGAUUGAUUUGCAUUCAAUUAAUAAGAAUUGUAUUUCUUUAGCGCCA